rnacentral:rRNA from 1 species
AGGGCACCACCAGGAGUGGAGCCUGCGGCUUAAUUUGACUCAACACGGGAAAACUCACCCGGCCCGGACACUGGAAGGAUUGACGGAUUGAGAGCUCUUUCUUGAUUCAGUGGGUGGUGGUGCAUGGCCGUUCUUAGUUGGUGGAGUGAUUUGUCUGGUUAAUUCCGAUAACGAACGAGACUCUAGCCUACUAAAUAGAUCGUUGGCUUACAAACGCCGGCGAGACUUCUUAGAGGGACAGGCGGUGAUUCAACCGCACGAAACAGAGCAAUAACAGGUCUGUGAUGCCCUUAGAUGUCCGGGGCCGCACGCGCGCUACACUGAAGUGAUCAGCGUGCUUUUUCAACCUACUCUGGCAAGAGUGGGGAACCCAUUGAACCUUCUUCGUGAUUGGGAUAGGGGAUUGUAAUUCUUCCCCUUGAACGAGGAAUUCCCAGUAAGCGCGAGUCAUAAGCUCGCGUUGAUUACGUCCCUGCCCUUUGUACGCACCGCCCGUCGCUACUACCGAUUGAAUGUUUU